AACCGACACCGGUGGUCAGGUAGAGAAUACCAAGGCGCUUGAGAGAACUCGGGUGAAGGAACUAGGCAAAAUGGUGCCGUAACUUCGGGAGAAGGCACGCUGACACGUAGGUGAAGUGAUUUACUCAUGGAGCUGAAGUCAGUCGAAGAUACCAGCUGGCUGCAACUGUUUAUUAAAAACACAGCACUGUGCAAACACGAAAGUGGACGUAUACGGUGUGACGCCUGCCCGGU
rnacentral:rRNA from 1 species